rnacentral:rRNA from 1 species
UGCAGUCGAACGGUGAAGCAGAGCUUGCUCUGUGGAUCAGUGGCGAACGGGUGAGUAACACGUGAGCAACCUGCCCCUGACUCUGGGAUAAGCGCUGGAAACGGCGUCUAAUACUGGAUAUGAGCUGCGAUCGCAUGGUCAGCAGUUGGAAAGAUUUUUCGGUCUGGGAUGGGCUCACGGCCUAUCAGCUUGUUGGUGAGGUAAUGGCUCACCAAGGCGUCGACGGGUAGCCGGCCUGAGAGGGUGACCGGCCACACUGGGACUGAGACACGGCCCAGACUCCUACGGGAGGCAGCAGUGGGGAAUAUUGCACAAUGGGCGAAAGCCUGAUGCAGCAACGCCGCGUGAGGGAUGACGGCCUUCGGGUUGUAAACCUCUUUUAGCAGGGAAGAAGCGAAAGUGACGGUACCUGCAGAAAAAGCGCCGGCUAACUACGUGCCAGCAGCCGCGGUAAUACGUAGGGCGCAAGCGUUAUCCGGAAUUAUUGGGCGUAAAGAGCUCGUAGGCGGUUUGUCGCGUCUGCUGUGAAAUCCCGAGGCUCAACCUCGGGUCUGCAGUGGGUACGGGCAGACUAGAGUGCGGUAGGGGAGAUUGGAAUUCCUGGUGUAGCGGUGGAAUGCGCAGAUAUCAGGAGGAACACCGAUGGCGAAGGCAGAUCUCUGGGCCGUUACUGACGCUGAGGAGCGAAAGGGUGGGGAGCAAACAGGCUUAGAUACCCUGGUAGUCCACCCCGUAAACGUUGGGAACUAGUUGUGGGGUCCAUUCCACGGAUUCCGUGACGCAGCUAACGCAUUAAGUUCCCCGCCUGGGGAGUACGGCCGCAAGGCUAAAACUCAAAGGAAUUGACGGGGACCCGCACAAGCGGCGGAGCAUGCGGAUUAAUUCGAUGCAACGCGAAGAACCUUACCAAGGCUUGACAUAUACGAGAACGGGCCAGAAAUGGUCAACUCUUUGGACACUCGUAAACAGGUGGUGCAUGGUUGUCGUCAGCUCCUGUCCUGAAAUGUUGGGUUAAGUCCCGCAACGAGCGCAACCCUCGUU